GGUUAAGCGACUAAGCGUACACGGUGGAUGCCCUGGCAGUCAGAGGCGAUGAAGGACGUGCUAAUCUGCGAUAAGCGUCGGUAAGGUGAUAUGAACCGUUAUAACCGGCGAUUUCCGAAUGGGGAAACCCAGUGUGAUUCGUCACACUAUCAUUAACUGAAUCCAUAGGUUAAUGAGGCGAACCGGGGGAACUGAAACAUCUAAGUACCCCGAGGAAAAGAAAUCAACCGAGAUUCCCCCAGUAGCGGCGAGCGAACGGGGAGCAGCCCAGAGCCUGAAUCAGUGUGUGUGUUAGUGGAAGCGUCUGGAAAGGCGUGCGAUACAGGGUGACAGCCCCGUACACAAAAAUGCACAUACUGUGAGCUCGAUGAGUAGGGCGGGACACGUGGUAUCCUGUCUGAAUAUGGGGGGACCAUCCUCCAAGGCUAAAUACUCCUGACUGACCGAUAGUGAACCAGUACCGUGAGGGAAAGGCGAAAAGAACCCCGGCGAGGGGAGUGAAAAAGAACCUGAAACCGUGUACGUACAAGCAGUGGGAGCACGCUUAGGCGUGUGACUGCGUACCUUUUGUAUAAUGGGUCAGCGACUUAUAUUCUGUAGCAAGGUUAACCGAAUAGGGGAGCCGAAGGGAAACCGAGUCUUAACUGGGCGUUAAGUUGCAGGGUAUAGACCCGAAACCCGGUGAUCUAGCCAUGGGCAGGUUGAAGGUUGGGUAACACUAACUGGAGGACCGAACCGACUAAUGUUGAAAAAUUAGCGGAUGACUUGUGGCUGGGGGUGAAAGGCCAAUCAAACCGGGAGAUAGCUGGUUCUCCCCGAAAGCUAUUUAGGUAGCGCCUCGUGAAUUCAUCUCCGGGGGUAGAGCACUGUUUCGGCAAGGGGGUCAUCCCGACUUACCAACCCGAUGCAAACUGCGAAUACCGGAGAAUGUUAUCACGGGAGACACACGGCGGGUGCUAACGUCCGUCGUGAAGAGGGAAACAACCCAGACCGCCAGCUAAGGUCCCAAAGUCAUGGUUAAGUGGGAAACGAUGUGGGAAGGCCCAGACAGCCAGGAUGUUGGCUUAGAAGCAGCCAUCAUUUAAAGAAAGCGUAAUAGCUCACUGGUCGAGUCGGCCUGCGCGGAAGAUGUAACGGGGCUAAACCAUGCACCGAAGCUGCGGCAGCGACGCUUAUGCGUUGUUGGGUAGGGGAGCGUUCUGUAAGCCUGCGAAGGUGUGCUGUGAGGCAUGCUGGAGGUAUCAGAAGUGCGAAUGCUGACAUAAGUAACGAUAAAGCGGGUGAAAAGCCCGCUCGCCGGAAGACCAAGGGUUCCUGUCCAACGUUAAUCGGGGCAGGGUGAGUCGACCCCUAAGGCGAGGCCGAAAGGCGUAGUCGAUGGGAAACAGGUUAAUAUUCCUGUACUUGGUGUUACUGCGAAGGGGGGACGGAGAAGGCUAUGUUGGCCGGGCGACGGUUGUCCCGGUUUAAGCGUGUAGGCUGGUUUUCCAGGCAAAUCCGGAAAAUCAAGGCUGAGGCGUGAUGACGAGGCACUACGGUGCUGAAGCAACAAAUGCCCUGCUUCCAGGAAAAGCCUCUAAGCAUCAGGUAACAUCAAAUCGUACCCCAAACCGACACAGGUGGUCAGGUAGAGAAUACCAAGGCGCUUGAGAGAACUCGGGUGAAGGAACUAGGCAAAAUGGUGCCGUAACUUCGGGAGAAGGCACGCUGAUAUGUAGGUGAAGUCCCUCGCGGAUGGAGCUGAAAUCAGUCGAAGAUACCAGCUGGCUGCAACUGUUUAUUAAAAACACAGCACUGUGCAAACACGAAAGUGGACGUAUACGGUGUGACGCCUGCCCGGUGCCGGAAGGUUAAUUGAUGGGGUUAGCGCAAGCGAAGCUCUUGAUCGAAGCCCCGGUAAACGGCGGCCGUAACUAUAACGGUCCUAAGGUAGCGAAAUUCCUUGUCGGGUAAGUUCCGACCUGCACGAAUGGCGUAAUGAUGGCCAGGCUGUCUCCACCCGAGACUCAGUGAAAUUGAACUCGCUGUGAAGAUGCAGUGUACCCGCGGCAAGACGGAAAGACCCCGUGAACCUUUACUAUAGCUUGACACUGAACAUUGAGCCUUGAUGUGUAGGAUAGGUGGGAGGCUUUGAAGUGUGGACGCCAGUCUGCAUGGAGCCGACCUUGAAAUACCACCCUUUAAUGUUUGAUGUUCUAACGUUGACCCGUAAUCCGGGUUGCGGACAGUGUCUGGUGGGUAGUUUGACUGGGGCGGUCUCCUCCUAAAGAGUAACGGAGGAGCACGAAGGUUGGCUAAUCCUGGUCGGACAUCAGGAGGUUAGUGCAAUGGCAUAAGCCAGCUUGACUGCGAGCGUGACGGCGCGAGCAGGUGCGAAAGCAGGUCAUAGUGAUCCGGUGGUUCUGAAUGGAAGGGCCAUCGCUCAACGGAUAAAAGGUACUCCGGGGAUAACAGGCUGAUACCGCCCAAGAGUUCAUAUCGACGGCGGUGUUUGGCACCUCGAUGUCGGCUCAUCACAUCCUGGGGCUGAAGUAGGUCCCAAGGGUAUGGCUGUUCGCCAUUUAAAGUGGUACGCGAGCUGGGUUUAGAACGUCGUGAGACAGUUCGGUCCCUAUCUGCCGUGGGCGCUGGAGAACUGAGGGGGGCUGCUCCUAGUACGAGAGGACCGGAGUGGACGCAUCACUGGUGUUCGGGUUGUCAUGCCAAUGGCACUGCCCGGUAGCUAAAUGCGGAAGAGAUAAGUGCUGAAAGCAUCUAAGCACGAAACUUGCCCCGAGAUGAGUUCUCCCUGACUCCUUGAGAGUCCUGAAGGAACGUUGAAGACGACGACGUUGAUAGGCCGGAUGUGUAAGCGCAGCGAUGCGUUGAGCUAACCGGUACUAAUGAACCGUGAGGCUUAACCUU
rnacentral:rRNA from 1 species